UACGAAGGGGGCUAGCGUUGUUCGGAAUUACUGGGCGUAAAGCGCACGUAGGCGGAUUGUUAAGUCAGAGGUGAAAGCCCGGGGCUCAACCCCGGAGGGUCGGCUGAUACUGGUGGACUAGAGUACGGAAGAGGUAGCUGGAAUUCCCGGUGUAGCGGUGGAAUGCGUAGAGAUCGGGAAGAACAUCGGUGGCGAAGGCGGCUUACUGGUCCGGUUCUGACGCUGAGGCGCGAAAGCGUGGGGAGCAAACAGG
rnacentral:rRNA from 1 species